rnacentral:rRNA from 1 species
UACGAAGGUGGCAAGCGUUGUUCGGAUUUACUGGGCGUACAGGGAGCGUAGGCGGUUGGGUAAGCCCUCCGUGAAAUCUCCGGGCCUAACCCGGAAAGUGCGGAGGGGACUGCUCAGCUAGAGGAUGGGAGAGGAGCGCGGAAUUCCCGGUGUAGCGGUGAAAUGCGUAGAGAUCGGGAGGAAGGCCGGUGGCGAAGGCGGCGCUCUGGAACAUUUCUGACGCUGAGGCUCGAAAGCGUGGGGAGCAAACAGG